UCCUUCCCACAUAAGAAGAGCGAUGCCUUGAAUAAGUUUUUCUCUGCCCCAUCUCGUCUUCCCUCUCUACCGAGUGGAAAUAAUUCCAUUCCAGGAUUUGGUACCUGCCACGCUUUCCUUUUUCCAUUUUGCCGAGCCUCAUGCUCGGGUCUCUCUCUCUCAGUGAGGCUGAGGAUGACGAACUGAAUCCUUACGCGGUCAAGAAAGUAUCUUAUUCUCACAGAGUCUGCCUGUGUCCCGUUUGUGCUGCUGUAAUGGGACACCCGACGCUGGGGCGGCUGACUCCUGGAGACUGCUCAGCUGGUCUUUGAAGACAGCCUCCCAAGGGCGAUUUCAAGGGUUUUCAGCAAGCUUCUCCUCCUUCCCAAGGAGGAAACCCAUACACAGAGCCCCUUCCUGGGGUGCCUACUUCUGGGUCUGGGUGCCCUCUCUUCUAGUUGGCCCCUUGUUCCCUGGUUUUCAGACUUCGCCUUCUGUUAGUCCCAGGUGGGAAAACUAUCACCGCAAGGCACAGAUUUGGGACAGCUGAGAAAUGUCAGAGUGAAGAGAAGAUGGAAGAAGCAGGCUCAGGUCUGGCCAGCAGAAGACCAGAGACAGCCAAAGCAGUGACAUCGGAGUGAUAUAGGACCACAGAUGUGAGCGUCACAUUUACUGUAAAUGCUGAUGUAACAAGGCCCCCUGCUGUGUCUGAAUGUGCUCCCCCACACCCCCUACCAGGUUCAGGGGGCAGAAACAAAUGUUGAGAGUCAGUUAGGUCAUCAAGCAUGUCCUCCAGCACAAAUUAAUGAAUGACAUUGUUAUGGAGUGGGCUUCUAAUAAGGUCCCACCCCCUCUACCGCACAAGCCCCUCUCCUCCUCAGCCUUUCCUCACUCUUAUUCUCUUGCCACGUGACAUUUCCACCAUGGAGCAGCACAACACCAAAGCUCAAUGCUCUUGACCGAGGUCAUCGUGUGCUCUUGAGCAUCUCAGCCCCAGAACCGUAAAGCAAAUGUAUACAUUUUGUUCUUUAUAAAUUGCCCAGCCCGUGACCUGUUAGAACAGCAGAAAGAGCAUGAGGACCCUUACUGUCUUCCCCCUUAGUGGAUUCCACAGCCCAUGUCUGUGUUGUCUUAAAGGGAGAGUAUUAAGGGACCAGAAUGUGAAAUGGCAUGUUUUAGGUGACCAGGAUCUAGAGGUGGUACCAACAUAGAUGUCCCAGGAGCUUGGCAGCAGAAGGGGUGGUGAGGAUCACGGUGAAAGGUCCUGUCCAUUGGGGCCUGAGAGACCUAGGAACCAGCUGCUUGAGGCGUUCUGUCCCCUGGGGAGAGUGGAGUAGGCAGGUCUGAAGGUUGGCAGGGUCUCAUAUCCUGGUGUGGUGAGGCUGGACCUCCAUGGCAUGCCUUAGAGGGUGAGCCACACGAGGGCAUUCUGAUUUCCAAUGUGGUCAGUUUCCCUGGUGGGGGCCCCGGUGGCCUCAGUACAGUUGCUGAGGCUUGGGCUUGAAGUGUAGACUUAUGUUGUAGCCUUGUCUGUCGGGAGGACUCGGCUGUCUCUUCUUGGGUACUGGAAACUUUAAAAACCACCAACGGCUGUAUGGGAGUUUAGGGACCAUCCUCAGCCUUUUUAAAAUUUCUUUCUAAUAUCUGACGCUGACUGAGAAAUAAAAUGGGUGACCAGGAUUGUGGUUCCUGCUGGGGAGGCUGGGUCAAAGUCAAGUAUAUUGAACCAUGCGUGGUCUCUAGUAAUUGAUUUAGAAAAAUGGUCAGGUUCUUAUCAGCUAACUGUGUAAUCUCUCAGAGCUUAUCAAAAUUAGCAACUUUUUCUGAGUCCAUCUCCAUACCCUGAAGGCAGGUAUGAGGUCCUUGUAAUGAUUAUUCUGUCUCUUUAAGAGACAAGCCGUGCCCACUCCCUCCUCCAUCCACUGAGGCAGGCUGAUCUUCAGUUUCCUGCCUGAGUUCUCAUUCUUUUCUAGCUCCCUCUCAGAGAGGCAGCUUCGGUCUCUUCUCCUCUCUCUCUCUA